rnacentral:rRNA from 1 species
GACGAACGCUGGCGGCGUGCCUAAUACAUGCAAGUUGAGCGCAGAGACGAGGUACUUGUACCAACUGGAUGAGCAGCGGACGGGUGAGUAACGCGUGGGGAAUCUGCCUUUGAGCGGGGGACAACAUCGGGAAACGAAUGCUAAUACCGCAUAAUAACUUUAAACACAAGUUUUAAGAGUGAAAGAUGCAAUUGCUGCACCCAAAGGAGAUCCCGCGUUGUAUUAGGUAGUUGGGGAGGUAAAGGCUUACCAAGGCAAUGAUUCGUAGCCGACCUGAGAGGGUGAUCGGCCACACUGGAACUGAGACACGGCCCAGACUCCUACGGGAGGCAGCAGUAGGGAAUCUUCCGCAAUGGGCGAAAGCCUGACGGAGCAACGCCGCGUGAGUGAUGAAGGUCUUCGGAUCGUAAAACUCUGUUAUUAGGGAAGAACGAGUGUGUAAGUAACUAUGCACGUCAUGACGGUAACUAAUCAGAAAGCCACGGCUAACUACGUG